UACGGAGGGGGCAAGCGUUGUUCGGAAUUACUGGGCGUAAAGGGCGCGUAGGCGGCCUUCUAAGUCGAACGUGAAAUCCCCGGGCUCAACCCGGGAACUGCGUCCGAUACUGGAAGGCUUGAAUCCGGGAGAGGGAUGUGGAAUUCCAAGUGUAGCGGUGAAAUGCGUAGAUAUCUGGAGGAACACCGGUGGCGAAGGCGACAUCCUGGACCGGUAUUGACGCUGAGGCGCGAAAGCCAGGGGAGCAAACGGG
rnacentral:rRNA from 1 species